rnacentral:rRNA from 1 species
ACAGAGGUGGCAAGCGUUGUUCGGAAUUACUGGGCGUAAAGGGCGCGUAGGCGGUCUUGCAAGUCCCGUGUGAAAUCCCUCGGCUCAACUGAGGAACUGCACGGGAAACUGCUUGGCUUGAGUUCUGGAGGGGGUAGCGGAAUUCCUGGUGUAGCGGUGAAAUGCGUAGAUAUCAGGAGGAACACCGGUGGCGAAGGCGGCUACCUGGACAGAAACUGACGCUGAGGCGCGAAAGCUAGGGGAGCAAACAGGA